rnacentral:rRNA from 1 species
UACGUAGGGUGCGAGCGUUGUCCGGAAUUAUUGGGCGUAAAGAGCUUGUAGGCGGUCUGUCGCGUCUGCUGUGAAAAUCCGGGGCUCAACCCCGGACUUGCAGUGGGUACGGGCAGACUAGAGUGUGGUAGGGGAGACUGGAAUUCCUGGUGUAGCGGUGAAAUGCGCAGAUAUCAGGAGGGAACACCGGUGGCGAAGGCGGGUCUCUGGGCCGAUACUGACGCUGGAGGAGCGAAAGCGUUGGGGAGCGAACAGG